rnacentral:rRNA from 1 species
CCUACGGGUGACAGCAGUGGGGGAUAUUGCACAAUGGGGGAAACCCUGAUGCAGCGACGCCGCGUGUGGGAAGACGGUCUUCUGGAUUGUAAACCACUGUCCCCAGGGACGAAAAUGACGGUACCUGGGGAGGAAGCUCCGGCUAACUACGUGCCAGCAGCCGCGGUAAUACGUAGGGAGCAAGCGUUUUCCGGAAUUACUGGGUGUAAAGGGAGCGUAGGCGGGGAUGCAAGUUGGGGGUCAAAACUACCGGCUCAACCGAUAGUCGCACUCAAAACUGCAGCUCUUGAGUGAAGUAGAGGCAGGCGGAAUUCCUAGUGUAGCGGUGAAAUGCGUAGAUAUUAGGAGGAACACCAGUGGCGAAGGCGGCCUGCUGGGCUUUUACUGACGCUGAGGCUCGAAAGUGUGGGGAGCAAACAGGAUUAGAUACCCCUGUAGUC